AUUGAACGCUGGCGGCAGGCCUAACACAUGCAAGUCGAGCGGCAGCGGAAGGAAGCUUGCUUUCUUGCCGGCGAGCGGCGGACGGGUGAGUAAGGUAUGGGGAUCUGGCCGAAGGCGGGGGAUAACCACUGGAAACGGUGGCUAAUACCGCAUAAUCUCUAAGGAGCAAAGUGGGGGACCGUUCAGGCCCCACACCUUCGGAUGAACCCAUAUGAGAUUAGCUAGUAGGUGGGGUAAUGGCUCACCUAGGCGACGAUCUCUAGCUGGUCUGAGAGGAUAAUCAGCCACACUGGGACUGAGACACGGCCCAGACUCCUACGGGAGGCAGCAGUGGGGAAUAUUGCACAAUGGGCGCAAGCCUGAUGCAGCCAUGCCGCGUGUAUGAAGAAGGCCUUCGGGUUGUAAAGUACUUUCAGUCGUGAGGAAGGUGUUAAGGUUAAUAACCUUAGCAAUUGACGUUAGCGACAGAAGAAGCACCGGCUAACUCCGUGCCAGCAGCCGCGGUAA
rnacentral:rRNA from 1 species